rnacentral:lncRNA from 1 species
CGAGCGAGUUGGGUCUUGCAGUCGCCCACCGCCCCGCUCUGCAGAUCGGUAGACUGAGUCCCGGCUAGGCGCGCAGCUCCGCGGGGCGGGAGUGGCUGAGCUAGGCGCUGACACGCCCUCUGUCCGCCCCAGAGGCAGCUCUUUGAGAUUCAGUCCACUCCGGCGCCCACCCCCCAGGUUGUCCAGAAAGUCCACUGGGCCAGGACGGUCACCCGUGGGCCUGACCUUCGGCGGUGCUCAGGGCCGAGCCCCUGCUCCAGCCGAGCCUCUUGGGACUCGGGCCACCUCUUCCCGAGCUGCUGUGCAGGGCAAGUGUGCAAGUCCCAGCCCCCUUCCCCUCGCCGGUCCCACCCUACCUAGGCCUGAGUGACUCGCCUCACCUGCUGCGGCGUAUUCAGAGCUAGGCACGCAUUUCCGCUCACCUGAACCCCUACGCCAGCCUUCCUGGGCUCAGCCUGCACUGCCUCCUCAGGGAGCCCCACCACCACCACCACCAGCCUGCUCCCGCUGCAUUCUGGGUCCCUUCUGUUGUCCUAGAUGAGGACUACCAGCGCUAGCCCAGCCCCGCGGGCCUCCGUGCAGCCUCCACGCAGGUUCAGUGUCCUGUGUGCCAUCUCAGCCCCACCCCUCCAUGGCUGAGCAGUGGAGUGCCUGGCCCUGCCUAAGACUCUGGCUCUGGAGUUUAGUCUGUGAGUCUGCUCCUGCUUGACACGCCCCUAUCUAAGGCAGCGGAUUCACUGGCUCCUCAAGGCUGAAGGCAACCGGGAACCAGUACCCAUCUCUAAUCUUGCAAAGGAAUUCAGUGAGAAAUGGAAUAAAAAAAUCACCAAGCACAUUUCCUCCAUAUGCUUUGUGAAACCAUAGAGAAUGCUCAUAUUGCACACCCCAGUGGGACACCCAUCAGCGAUGCUUUCAACCACUAGUGAUAAGCCAGGCAUGGUGGCACACACCUGUAAUCUCAGCCCUCGGGAGGCUGAGGCAGGAGGAUUACUAUGAGUUCAAGGCCAGCCUGAGCUACACAGUGAGUUCAGGGCCAGCCUGAACUACAAAGUGAAACUCUGUCUCAAAAAACCAAAAAAAACAACAAACAAACAAACAAAAAAAC